rnacentral:rRNA from 1 species
CCUACGGGAGACAGCAGUGGGGAAUAUUGGGCAAUGGGCGCAAGCCUGACCCAGCAACGCCGCGUGAAGGCAGAAGUCCCUCGGGUUGUAAACUUCUUUUAUCAGGUACGAAGCAAGUGACGGUACCUGAUGAAUAAGCCACGGCUAACGACGUGACAGCAGCCGCGAUAAUACGUAGGUGACAAGCGUUAUCCGGAUUUACUGGGUGUAAAGGUCGUGUAGGCGGGAAAGAAAGUCAGAUGUGAAAACCAUGGGAUCAACCUGUAGCAUGCAUUUGAAACUGUUUUUCUUGAGUACUGGAGAGGCAGACGGAAGUCCUAGGGUAGCGGUGAAAUGCGUAGAUAUUAGGAGGAACACCAGUGGCGAAGGCGGUCUGCUGGACAGCAACUGACGCUGAGGCGCGAAAGCGUGGGGAGCAAACAGGAUUAGAUACCCCUGUAGUC